UUAUCGGAGAGUUUGAUCCUGGCUCAGGACGAACGCUGGCGGCGUGCCUAAUACAUGCAAGUCGAGCGGACAGAUGGGAGCUUGCUCCCUGAUGUUAGCGGCGGACGGGUGAGUAACACGUGGGUAACCUGCCUGUAAGACUGGGAUAACUCCGGGAAACCGGGGCUAAUACCGGAUGGUUGUUUGAACCGCAUGGUUCAAACAUAAAAGGUGGCUU
rnacentral:rRNA from 1 species